rnacentral:rRNA from 1 species
UACGGAGGGUGCGAGCGUUGUUCGGAAUCACUGGGCGUAAAGCGCGUGUAGGCGGCAUCCUAAGUCUGGUGUGAAAGCCCGGGGCUCACCCCCGGAAGUGCACUGGAUACUGGGAAGCUAGAGUACCGGAGAGGAGGGUGGAAUUCCUGGUGUAGCGGUGAAAUGCGUAGAUAUCGGGAGGAACACCGGUGGCGAAGGCGGCCCUCUGGACGGAUACUGACGCUGAGACGCGAAAGCGUGGGGAGCAAACAGG